ensembl:snRNA U6 U6 spliceosomal RNA
UUGUUCUGGCUGCACAUAUACUACAGUUGGAAUGAUACUGAAAAGAUUAACAUGACCCCCCUGCAAAGAUGACUUGCACAUCUAUGAAGCAUUCCAUAAAAAA